GAUGAAGAACGUAGCGAAAUGCGAUACUUGGUGUGAAUUGCAGAAUCCCGUGAACCAUCGAGUCUUUGAACGCAAGUUGCGCCCGAAGCCAUUAGGCCGAGGGCACGCCUGCCUGGGCGUCACACGUCGUUGCCCCCCCCAUCUACUCCUUCGGGAUUGCGGGGGGCGGAUGAUGGCCUCCCGUGCGCCUCGCCGCGCGGUUGGCCUAAAUGCCAAGUCCUCGGCGACGCACGCCACGACAAUCGGUGGUUGCGAAACCUCGGUUGCCUGUCGUGUGCGGUCGUCGCGCAUCGAGGGCUCGAAAAAAUUGCCGGGCUUCGGCUCGACUUUCAACGCGACCCCAGGUCAGGCGGGGUUACCCGCUGAAUUUAAGCAUAUCAAUAAGCGGAGGA
rnacentral:misc_RNA from 1 species